UUAAUGAUGAACUGUGUUCACACCUAUGUUCCAUGCGGAAGUCAAACAUUGUCCUCUAAGAAGUUCUGAAAGG